GCAUUUCUUCUGCCUCCCAUCUCUGAGGCAAGAUGGAGUGAUACGAUACUCUUAAUCUAAUGAGGAUAGAGCUGCAAGGUGCAAAGUGACUGGGUCUGAAAGCUGAAGCCUUUUCAUCAGGCUGUGGGCCACUUGAUGUGAAUCAGCUGAUGAACUCGGCUGGCCUGUCUUUGGCCAUAUGUUAUGCUACAGCUGGCUUUUAAGCUUCCUUCUUCAAAAUAAUGCUUGGCUGUUAAUUAUGUGAAGGGUCAAAGUAAAGCAGGCUAAGAACAAAAACCUGAGGAAUACUGAAUUGAAUUGCAUUAAAAAUACAACAUUUUGUCUUUGAUCCAAGUGGAAGUACUCUGAGGACUCUUGCUUUAGGAAGCAGCUGAGCUCCGAUAUAAGAUGUGUUGAGUCAACAGCACUGUGAACCUUUGCAGAAAGAGGACUUGUUAUUCCCUUUGUUUCUACACUCAAGACUUGCUUUGCUGCAGGAAGAAAGUUGGAAUAUACCAUCAGGAAUCAUGAAUUGUUUCAGCUGUUGUGGUUUGUUUGCUGUUUGUACCAUAGUCAAAAUGAACAGACUGGUAAAGCCUGGGUGAAGUGCAAUGAAUGGAAUGUUGGACCAAUAAACGACCUGUUGCUAGCUGGC
ensembl:lncRNA